AGUGACCCAGAGCCUUGACAACUAAGCCAUGGCCUUUCAAGCAGUAACCAAGAGCUUUAAAUACUAAGCCACCACUGCAUCUAUCUAUCUAUCUAUCUCUCUAUCUAAAAUUGCUAUACUUCAUUAUAAUAAUGUGCAUUGUGCAGUAUGGUGAUGCUAGCAGGUAUCACUACUGCCUCACAGCUUUACGGACCCUGGUUUGAACCUGAGGUCUGACUACAGUCUGUUCAUGUUCUCCCACCUCUCAAAAACAUGCCAGUAGGAUGAUUUGGCUACUGGCGAGGAAUGAUUGAUUAAAUGAAUUAAUUAAUAUUCUGCACUGUGAUUGAUUCAGCCAGUCUGUACUAACAAAUGUGUGUCUAUAGUGAGCAUGAGACCCUGAUCUACUGGUACCUGGUGGCCGUUAUUUUGCUACUGGUCAUCAUCGUCUGCGUGCUAAGAAGGAAGUACACAGAGAAUCAAAUCAGGACCAGAGACAGGAGCAAUGACACCACAGUUCACACAGCUGAGAGUGAGGGAUCAUACAGCUCAAUUGCUUUCAAGUCAAGAAAGAAGAAAUCAGAAGCAAGGAACCUGGAGCAG